ACGCUCGACACCUACAGGAGGCAGCAGUGGGGAAUAUUGCACAAUGGGGGAAACCCUGAUGCAGCGACGCCGCGUGAGUGAAGAAGUAUUUCGGUAUGUAAAGCUCUAUCAGCAGGGAAGAAAAUGACGGUACCUGAGUAAGAAGCCCCGGCUAACUACGUGCCGGCAGCCGCGGUAAUCUGAGCGGGCUGGCAAGGC
rnacentral:rRNA from 1 species